UACUUUCGAUCUGAAUGCAACAAGUUGCAUCACUUUGGGUUCCAUUUGAUUCAAUUUUGCUGAACAUGAGAGAACAUGAACAGUCAUCGUUGAAGAAGAUGAAGUUAAAAUCAAAAUUAAAAAUUUAAAAAAAAAAAUAGAUGGUGUCCAAAAUGAACAGGUAACCGGUAAGAGGAAAUUAAAAUGGGAUGACAUGGCUAAUUGUGAUUGGUGUGUGUUAAAGGGGUGUGUUAAAGAGUGUCUCCUUA
rnacentral:lncRNA from 1 species